GAUGAACGCUGGCGGCGUGCCUAAUACAUGCAAGUCGAGCGAACAGACGAGGAGCUUGCUCCUCUGACGUUAGCGGCGGACGGGUGAGUAACACGUGGAUAACCUACCUAUAAGACUGGGAUAACUUCGGGAAACCGGAGCUAAUACCGGAUAAUAUAUUGAACCGCAUGGUUCAAUAGUGAAAGACGGUUUUGCUGUCACUUAUAGAUGGAUCCGCGCCGCAUUAGCUAGUUGGUAAGGUAACGGCUUACCAAGGCAACGAUGCGUAGCCGACCUGAGAGGGUGAUCGGCCACACUGGAACUGAGACACGGUCAAGACUCAUACGGGAGGCAGCAGUAGGGAAUCUUCCGCAAGGGGCGAAAGCUUGACGGAGCAACGCCGCGUGAUUGAUGAAGGUCUUCGGAGCGUAAAAAUCUGUUAUUAGGGAAGAACAAAUGUGUAAGUAACUAUGCACGUCUUGACGGUACCUAAUCAGAAAGCCACGGCUAACUACGUG
rnacentral:rRNA from 1 species